UUGCUGGAGGUAUCAGAAGUGCGAAUGCUGACAUAAGUAACGAUAAAGCGGGUGAAAAGCCCGCUCGCCGGAAGACCAAGGGUUCCUGUCCAACGUUAAUCGGGGCAGGGUGAGUCGACCCCUAAGGCGAGGCCGAAAGGCGUAGUCGAUGGGAAACGGGUUAAUAUUCCCGUACUUGGUGUUACUGCGAAGGGGGGACGGAGAAGGCUAUGUUGGCCGGGCGACGGUUGUCCCGGUUUAAGCGUGUAGGUGUGUGUUCCAGGUAAAUCCGGUUCACUUUAACACUGAGGCGUGACGACGAGGCACUACGGUGCUGAAGCAACAAAUGCCCUGCUUCCAGGAAAAGCCUCUAAGCAUCAGGUAACAUCAAAUCGUACCCCAAACCGACACAGGUGGUCAGGUAGAGAAUACCAAGGCGCUUGAGAGAACUCGGGUGAAGGAACUAGGCAAAAUGGUGCCGUAACUUCGGGAGAAGGCACGCUGACACGUAGGUGAAGUGAUUUACUCACGGAGCUGAAGUCAGUCGAAGAUACCAGCUGGCUGCAACUGUUUAUUAAAAACACAGCACUGUGCAAACACGAAAGUGGACGUAUACGGUGUGACGCCUGCCCGGUGCCGGAAGGUUAAUUGAUGGGGUCAGCGCAAGCGAAGCUCCUGAUCGAAGCCCCGGUAAACGGCGGCCGUAACUAUAACGGUCCUAAGGUAGCGAAAUUCCUUGUCGGGUAAGUUCCGACCUGCACGAAUGGCGUAAUGAUGGCCAGGCUGUCUCCACCCGAGACUCAGUGAAAUUGAACUCGCUGUGAAGAUGCAGUGUACCCGCGGCAAGACGGAAAGACCCCGUGAACCUUUACUAUAGCUUGACACUGAACAUUGAGCCUUGAUGUGUAGGAUAGGUGGGAGGCUUUGAAGCGUGGACGCCAGUCUGCGUGGAGCCGACCUUGAAAUACCACCCUUUAAUGUUUGAUGUUCUAACGUGGACCCGUAUCCGGGUUGCGGACAGUGUCUGGUGGGUAGUUUGACUGGGGCGGUCUCCUCCUAAAGAGUAACGGAGGAGCACGAAGGUUGGCUAAUCCUGGUCGGACAUCAGGAGGUUAGUGCAAUGGCAUAAGCCAGCUUGACUGCGAGCGUGACGGCGCGAGCAGGUGCGAAAGCAGGUCAUAGUGAUCCGGUGGUUCUGAAUGGAAGGGCCAUCGCUCAACGGAUAAAAGGUACUCCGGGGAUAACAGGCUGAUACCGCCCAAGAGUUCAUAUCGACGGCGGUGUUUGGCACCUCGAUGUCGGCUCAUCACAUCCUGGGGCUGAAGUAGGUCCCAAGGGUAUGGCUGUUCGCCAUUUAAAGUGGUACGCGAGCUGGGUUUAGAACGUCGUGAGACAGUUCGGUCCCUAUCUGCCGUGGGCGCUGGAGAACUGAGGGGGGCUGCUCCUAGUACGAGAGGACCGGAGUGGACGCAUCACUGGUGUUCGGGUUGUCAUGCCAAUGGCACUGCCCGGUAGCUAAAUGCGGAAGAGAUAAGUGCUGAAAGCAUCUAAGCACGAAACUUGCCCCGAGAUGAGUUCU
rnacentral:rRNA from 1 species